ACAGCAGCCGCCACGGUAAUACGAAGGGGGCUAGCGUUGCUCGGAAUUACUGGGCGUAAAGGGAGCGUAGGCGGACAUUUAAGUCAGGGGUGAAAUCCCGGGGCUCAACCUCGGAAUUGCCUUUGAUACUGGGUGUCUUGAGUAUGAGAGAGGUAUGUGGAACUCCGAGUGUAGAGGUGAAAUUCGUAGAUAUUCGGAAGAACACCAGUGGCGAAGGCGACAUACUGGCUCAUUACUGACGCUGAGGCUCGAAAGCGUGGGGAGCAAACAGGAUUAGAUACCCGUGUAGUCCCUGUCUCUUAUAC
rnacentral:rRNA from 1 species